CACCUAUCGUCUAGCGGUUAGGACACCACUCUUUCACAGGGGGAACACGAGUUCGAUCCUCGUUGGGUGUGCCA
rnacentral:tRNA from 2 species